CACUCCUGCGGGAGGCAGCAGUGGGGAAUUUUGGACAAUGGGCGAAAGCCUGAUCCAGCAAUGCCGCGUGAGUGAAGAAGGCCUUCGGGUUGUAAAGCUCUUUUGUCAGGGAAGAAACGGUGAGAGCUAAUAUCUUUUGCUAAUGACGGUACCUGAAGAAUAAGCACCGGCUAACUACGUGCCAGCAGCCGCGGUAAUACGUAGGGUGCAAGCGUUAAUCGGAAUUACUGGGCGUAAAGCGUGCGCAGGCGGUUUUGUAAGUCUGAUGUGAAAUCCCCGGGCUCAACCUGGGAAUUGCAUUGGAGACUGCAAGGCUAGAAUCUGGCAGAGGGGGGUAGAAUUCCACGUGUAGCAGUGAAAUGCGUAGAUAUGUGGAGGAACACCGAUGGCGAAGGCAGCCCCCUGGGUCAAGAUUGACGCUCAUGCACGAAAGCGUGGGGAGCAAACAGGAUUAGAAACCCUAGUAGUCCC
rnacentral:rRNA from 1 species